GAGGAAACUCCUGCUAAUACCGCAUAGCCAUGAGCACCGCAUGGAGCUCAUGCCAAAUAUCCUUUCGGGGAUAGCGCAGGGAUGGACCUAUGGCGCAUUAGCUGGUUGGCGGGGCAACGGCCCACCAAGGCAACGAUGCGUAGCCGGCCUGAGAGGGCGGACGGCCACAUUGGGACUGAGACACGGCCCAGACUCCUACGGGAGGCAGCAGUAGGGAAUUUUCGGCAAUGGGGGAAACCCUGACCGAGCAACGCCGCGUGAGCGAAGAAGGCCUUCGGGUCGUAAAGCUCUGUUGUAAAGGAAGAACCGCGCAUACAGGAAAUGGUAUGCGAGUGACCGUACUUUACCAGAAAGCCACGGCUAACUACGUGCCAGCAGCCGCGGUAAUACGUAGGUGGCGAGCGUUAUCCGGAAUCAUUGGGCGUAAAGAGGGAGCAGGCGGCCGCAAGGGUCUGUGGUGAAAGACCGAAGCUAAACUUCGGUAAGCCAUGGAAACCGGGCGGCUAGAGUGCGGAAGAGGAUCGUGGAAUUCCAUGUGUAGCGGUGAAAUGCGUAGAUAUAUGGAGGAACACCAGUGGCGAAGGCGACGGUCUGGGCCGCAACUGACGCUCAUUCCCGAAAGCG
rnacentral:rRNA from 1 species